GAUGAACGCUAGCUACAGGCUUAACACAUGCAAGUCGAGGGGCAGCACAGUGUAGCAAUACAUGGGUGGCGACCGGCGCACGGGUGCGUAACGCGUAUCCAACCUUCCCGUUACUCAGGGAUAGCCUUCCGAAAGGGAGAUUAAUACCUGAUGGUAUCAGAAUUUCGCAUGUUAUUCUGAUUAAAGAUUUAUCGGUAACGGAUGGGGAUGCGUGACAUUAGAUAGUAGGCGGGGUAACGGCCCACCUAGUCUACGAUGUCUAGGGGUUCUGAGAGGAAGGUCCCCCACACUGGAACUGAGACACGGUCCAGACUCCUACGGGAGGCAGCAGUGAGGAAUAUUGGUCAAUGGGCGCAAGCCUGAACCAGCCAAGUAGCGUGAAGGAAGACUGCCCUAUGGGUUGUAAACUUCUUUUAUACGGGAACAAACCCCGGUACGUGUACCGGAUUGCGUGUACCGUAUGAAUAAGCAUCGGCUAACUCCGUG
rnacentral:rRNA from 1 species